AUACUUAUCUGGCAGGGGAGAUACUAUGAUCAAGAAGGUGGUUCAUCCAGGGUGAGGUUCAGCCAUUGUACUCUGGUUGUGCUGACUUCUGCGAGUUCCCCAAAUGUGGAAAUCUUGACUGCAUAAUAUCUGGUAGCGGGGGGCUGCGUUUGCGCUCUCCCCUG